GACAAACGCUGGCGGCGUGCUUAACACAUGCAGGUCGAACGGAAAGGCCCUGCUUUUGUGGGGUGCUCGAGUGGCGAACGGGUGAGUAACACGUGAGUAACCUGCCCUUGACUUUGGGAUAACUUCAGGAAACUGGGGCUAAUACCGGAUAGGAGCUCCUGCUGCAUGGUGGGGGUUGGAAAGUUUCGGCGGUUGGGGAUGGACUCGCGGCUUAUCAGCUUGUUGGUGGGGUAGUGGCUUACCAAGGCUUUGACGGGUAGCCGGCCUGAGAGGGUGACCGGCCACAUUGGGACUGAGAUACGGCCCAGACUCCUACGGGAGGCAGCAGUGGGGAAUAUUGCACAAUGGGCGGAAGCCUGAUGCAGCAACGCCGCGUGCGGGAUGACGGCCUUCGGGUUGUAAACCGCUUUCGCCUGUGACGAAGCGUGAGUGACGGUAAUGGGUAAAGAAGCACCGGCUAACUACGUG
rnacentral:rRNA from 1 species